UUGGGGACCCCUGGCUUAUUCUCAUUCCCAUCAUAAUCAUAACCAACAUCAUGCAUAUAACAAAAUAUUCUUCAUCAUUAUCCUGUCCAGGUUUUAAGAUGUAUGUGAUUUAUCGUCAGGCUACCUUGAUCUUACAAAUGCUCUAAUUGUCGUUUCUGGGAAAUUCACUUAAGUUUCUAUAUGACUGGAAGGAAACGAUUUGGGAAUAACUGGGAAUCCCCCACAGCAGUGUAUAAAUUCAGAGCGUAGCCUACUACUUCGUCAUACAUUUACUGUAAUGACAGGAGCAACCGGCUACAGCAGCAUGAGAACAGAAUUCACCUUUGCUGGAAAUCGCUACCGACAGACAUGCUAAUGAUGUGGGUAGUGUGAAUGAAGAUGCUGCUGAGAAAGUUCCUGUUCCUGGAAUUGAAAUCUGCAAGCUUUCCUGCCUAACCAGCUCUGUGAUUCCCUUGAAUUACUACUGUCUCACCGUUGGUGUGUUCUUUACAUUUACAAGGGUAGUUGGAAGCUUGCAGGCCUCCAACAGUGAAGAUAAUUGUGCCAAGUUUGUUAUUUGUGGACCAGAAGCUGUCAAAAAUGUACUCUUUACCCAUAUGCUACCAAAGUUCUGUACCACACCAAAUACAUAAUGUGAAUCAGUGUAAAAAGUAACAUCUUUUCCCUCGCCCAAUUUACAUGCUUCUGUGAGUGCUACCAAUUCAGCCAGUGGAGAGAGAGAGAGAAAGAAGGGGGGGGGGGCAUAUUUCAGUGUUGUGUGAUCAUCACCAACAGCAUUAGCUGUAACUCUUUUACCAUUAUUCAUGUAGCACGGUUUGUCACCAUAACGCAUUUGGUCGCAAUUUGUCAGGGGUAGGUGGUCUCUAACACCCGUCCAUCUGUCCACUCCUGCUGGACUGUUGCUUCACAGUGAUGAUCGUAAAAGCCUGUUUCAGGAACAUUGUGUUGAAAGAUAUUUAUAGGGCUUUCUUUUCAAAUGAUCUGUUAAAAACGACUUCCCAUUUUGUCCAGCAUGACUGUAGCCUUGGGUGCUUGCAUUGUGUAAUACAGCAGGAAGGCAGAACACACCAAAUUGUGACUCAUUACAGUUGAAGAUGUGGUCUUUAUGGCCAGAAGAACAGCAUGCACCACUCUAAGACAUCCCCUCGGCCAAUGUCUCCAAAAUUGUACUCUAAUUCUCCAAUGUUCCAGGUGCCAGACAAUAGACAUGAACCCCGUCCUUUUAGUUACAUUACCAUUUGAGGGGUCUGCAUAUGCUGUGUUGCAAAUCCCAUGAAAGUUAGUAGGAGGGAUUCCUGAGUCCCAAAGAGUUGACAUGACGAAGCACAUGAUGGAGGAAGUAAACCACCGCUGAAAAGCAGGAGGAGCCUGUUUUUUUUUCAUCUGAACCCAUUAGGGAGAAUUUAUUUGAUUUUUGUGUUAGUGUGGGUGCGGUCUCUCUUCACAUGGCAACUGAUGGUCCACUCCCGGAACUGCCGCAUCUCCCUCCCAGGGGUGUAACAUCGACAUGUGACAGUCUUCCUAUUCUAUUUCUUCUUCUUCUACCUCUCUUUAAAUUUUACCCCUUUCCCAUGGCCAAAAACUCAUAAAAUCUGGCAUGUAUGUCCAAUAUGGCUGCAAAUGCAUUAUGCAUGACACAUAUGCAACUGACACUCUUGUUGGCUCUAUAGCACCACCUGCAGAAUUGCAACAUUGAAAAAAAUUAUUGCAGCUGUCCCAUUUAACAUACGGUACUUCCACCAAAUGUCUUCAGACUAAUUCAUUUUGGAGCUGUCUGUACUAGUGUUAUACAUUUAGUCUGUGUACUCGUUAUCAAUGUAGCUAAUCAAAGUCAGUCAAACUGGUGAAAGUGAAACUCAAAAGUGUCAGUGUAUUUCAUUUGGAUUUCACAAAUAUAAAUUAGUUUUCCGCAAAGAUUAUGCAGUUGCAAAAGAAAUAGUUUAAAUUUUCUUGGCAAUUAUUAGAUAGCAAGCAAGCAAGCCAGUGUACGGAGUUAAAAACUUGCUUGUGUUCGAGGGGGGAUUUGAACCCGUGCCUGCCAGUCAUCAAAAGGCCCCAAAGGCAAAGGAUCAACCCAGUGAGCCUCUAGUGAAGUAGCACCCUGGGCCACAAAUUUGUGUUUUUAAAAUGUGUGCACUUCUAUAUAUGUUCAUUUUGCAUGUGUAUCCAAUGUUUUUAUUGGCUGAUGUUACUGAAUGUCCAAUGGGAAGAUGAAACUUUAAGGACUGGGAGUCUGUGGUCAUUGUGCUUAUUUCUGAGGGAAACCCUGAAAAGUACCAAAUGCUUGGUGCUGUAUAGGUGUGGGGCAUGCCACCCCAUCAAGUUGUAACUCGGCGGAAUGGCUUACCUGCCAUCCCAUUCACAUUUUACGCACUACAGCACCACUUCAAAUUUGCCAUUUUUAAAUAAUUAUCACAGAUGUACUCAGACUUCCAAUAUCUACCAAAGUUGGUAUGGAUGGUAUUUCAAUUAGGUUUGCAGUCCAUAGUAAAGUAUAAAUUGCUACAACACAGUUUGGCUAAACACCAGUCACUUUCGUGAUAGAACUCUGCUCAAACAGACAGCCUGCCUUUUAUCGCUGUCACUCACGUAGCUCGCCCCCCCUCCCACACAGUCGUACUCUGAGGGUAGCUGCAAGCAGGCCAUAAACAAAAGUAGACCAUUGUUGCACAAUUUCAUUUGUGGUUUUUGCAGAAAUCUCAGAAAAAAAAUUAAUUGCACUCAAUGCUCUACAGCUCACCUUCGGUGCUUGGCCCCUGACAUCACUGAUUGCAUACAUAAUACUGCUGUUUUAUUUCUCUUCUAUACAGUGAGCAUUUGUUUUGCCAAGUUGUUUACAGACCUGCUUUGUUUGUGUUUUGGAUGUAACAUGAAGUAGGUCUAUUUAUUGCAUAAUACUAUCUUAGUGCAAUGUCAUCUUGCUAGUAGUCUACAAUUAUUCUGUGAAAAUGCUUAUUUAUUACAGUGGUGUAAACCCUGAAAGUCUGUCUUUCACAUGCUGUAACACGAUCUAACUCUUAAAUUGGUAUGUAGCCCACUUUUGUGUUUUCAAUAAUCUGUAUAAACACAGGGAAUUCUCGACUUACGUUGUGUAAUGUUUUGUAUAUAGAUGAAAAGCCAACUUGGCUUUAUCAGCGAGAGGGUUUUAAUUACCGUGUCGUCUCUAAACAGAAUGUAAAUGUAUGUUAUACCAUCAGCCAGUGUGUAAUUUGUAGAACACGUCAUGGCAUGAUAAAGUGUGUUUGCAAAGGAGUAAUUUUAUCUGUUUCCAGACUGCAACAACUGUGGUUGUGGUUGCCAGCUGCUGUUCUUUUUCCAUUAUUUGUACAGGCCAUUAACGUGUGCUGCUGUUCCCGUGUGUUUUGAUGCGUUUUUGUAGGUUUAACUAGCUGGUAAAUGAGCAACAGUUCUGUUUAUGUUCUAACAUUUUGCAUAUAGUGGGUGUCACCUGGCUAGUUCACAAUUGUUUUGUUUGUUUGUUUGUUUUGCUUUUGUUUGAUAUAUUCUGUUUAUUAUUUUCUUCUUGAAACCAGCUAUAGCAUUUUGUGGGCAGCUAUUUACUGGUACCAUAUAAGCAAUUUUAUUGAGCUCUUGUACUGUGCAUGCUUCCUGUGAGUCUGACUUGACUACCCCUACUAUAAUUGUUAGGUGUUUGGGCUGUAUCUGAAUUUAUAGAGUAUGAAGUGUAUCCUAGUCUAUGAGUGUGGUGCAAACAACUGAUAACGUCAGUGUAUUAAACUCAAUUCCAGUUU